AGCGUUGAAAAGCUCGGGGAUGACUUGUGGGUAGCGGUGAAAUUCCAAUCGAGCCCGGAGAUAGCUGGUUCUCCCCGAAAUAGCUUUAGGGCUAGCCUCAAGGGGAGAGAUACGGAGGUAGAGCACUGAAUGUCCUAGGGGGUAUUGCACCUACCGAAGACUAUCAAACUCCGAAUGCCGUCAUCUUAUACUUGGGAGUCAGACUG
rnacentral:rRNA from 1 species